rnacentral:tRNA from 4 species
GGGCGGAUGGUUUAGUGGUAUAAUUUUCCCUUAGCAUCUUGCAACCUGGGAAAGGUCCGGGGUUCGAUUCCCCGUUCGUCCA